GGUUACACAAGAGGGGAUUACGAGACGAGGGAGAAAAGACGAGGAAAGAAUGAAAUAAAGAGCGGCGCUGUGAAAGCGGAGCUGGGUUGGACAGUGGAGCAGAGAGUAGAGCCUGGUGGUGAGGAGGGGUGAGGGGAAUAUGGUGGAGGGGGGGGGGGGGUUGUUCUGUCACAGCCCCUCCAGGGUAAUUGGCUCCAGAUGUGAGGCAGCGUGGCCCCUGCGCCAGCAAGGCGUCAGGGCUGCAUUAAGAGCUCAGCCCAGGGCUGAUGGGAUCGCAGAGAGACAAGCUCACCCCUACUACCCCCCCCCACCCCAAAAAAGCACAGACUGAACCCCAUGCUGUGCUGCUGACCACUGGGCCUCCAUCAGUGCCCUUCCCACCUCUCAACCCCUGCUCAUCAUCUGCCAAAAUAACUAAGCACUGCAAUACUUCUGAAAUUGUUGUAAAAUCCCCCUUGUUUACUUACCAAAGACUUAUUUCCCCCUUCGACAGCUCACAUUCUCUCUCCGAGGCCCAUCACGUCCCAGUGACUACGGUCAUUUUGAAGUCUUAUUUUAUGCCAUUGUGGUGCUGCAAUUACGUUGACCCCCUGUGUCGGGCGAGUCCUCCCUUGAACACCACGUUCAGGUUGCUCCAAUUCGAGAGAGAAUUGGUCAGGCGCAGUUUUCAGUUUUUGUGUUGCACCCUGUGGUGCUCUGACACCCACGAGAGAAGUCAGGAACAUGACUUAGAAGUUGUAACAGUCUAUUCUUCUCUCUCCUUUUAUGAAUUACACAAAAAGCUUGAAGAAAUUGAUGUGAAGAACACCGAAUCCCGCUGUGGGAAUUGCAUCUGCUGUCUCAGGGCGAGGAAUGCUCUCGCUGUGACCCAAAAAGCAUGUUUACUGAUCGAGUGUGGAAAUCGAUUAAAGGCAGAAAAUCAGCGUAAAGUGAUGGUGGACGGAGUGAACGGAGAAAAUAGACGGGUAGAUAAAUAAAUGAGAUGGAGAGCCCUUCUUCGGUGAUGACACCCGCAUAUCGAUGGCAUUUUCUGAAGUGCAGUCCGCCACCGUGACUAACAAGGGAAACCACUCAUCAUGCCAACCAGCAUUAGGAGGCUCGUGUGAAAAGACCCCUGAACCACCUUUCAGCCAGGAAUGCCUGUUGGACCAGAUUAUGUGGGUAAACAGAAAGCAGAUGUGCGUGUUCUCAGCUUUGCUGCAGUGUCUGACUAUGGAGGCACGUUGUUCAGAUGUUGUACAAAGAUAAACAGGAAGAGGAAUUCUUUUUUUUCUCUUUAUCAAAAGAAAAUCAUUUUCAAAGAACACAGACCCGUCGUCUUAAAAACAAUAGGAGAGGGGAGGCUGCCGACAGGGGAUUCAUUUCAGCCCACCACCAUUCCUCCGCCUCAUUCCAUCCUCUAACCCUGGGAGAUGGUGUUGUCAUACUGCUGGACAUGGGCCCGGGGUGUGAGUGAGUUUAACUAAACAAAAACACUCCCUCCCCGGGAUGAGGGCUCAUGCCCCAGUCAGACCUCCAUAAAAACAGCCCUGGUUUCUGUUAACAUGCACGUUUCCAACACGUGAUAAAGUCGAGAGAAACCGUGAACAUCUGGUUAUCUCUUCCUAGUUAGGCUUUAAACUAAGCGGUGAAUGUGAGAUGAGGGGGAACUGGAAUGCUGUAACGCAGUCCAACACUAGGUGGUAAUCCUGCUUUGCGAA
ensembl:lncRNA